CACCUGCACCUGUAAAUCUGCAACCCUGAGCCCAUUAACUGAUCCCUGACCUGUUGCCUGCUCAGGAUUCUCAGUUACUUUUGUUUGGACUUGCUUCCCCUGCCAGUAAACUUUUUGUAAAUUCACUUACUCAAUAAAUCACUGAAACUACAUUUUCGGCAUUUGCAUUUUUCACCUUGUUUUGGAACCUCCAUCACCAUCAGUGCUGGAAAGCAACUGCACGAGGAGCCUCUGGAUGGGAUCAUCAAUCUGCCGGACUUUCUUCUGGGAAACACAGAUCCCUGCUAACACUGAGGCAAGAGCAAAACCACAGACAAACAGGGGGACUCAGGCUAAAUACACAGGAAGAAGUACUUCUGCGCUCGUUUCCUGUCUCUCUCUGCUCUUCUUUCCAGUGCAUUCUGGGAAGUGUAGAGGUCGUCCAUCAGCCUCAUCAUGAGGUCGGAGAUCCUCGUGGUGACGGCCACAAUGUCGGGCCGCCGGUCUGGAUCUGGACUCAAGCACCUGAAAGGAAAACCCCUAAAGUAUGUUGGAGACUGACUGAUUUUAAAUUACUUUAAUAUAUAACAAUAAAAACACAAAAUAAU